rnacentral:rRNA from 1 species
GUGUCAGCAGCCGCGGUAAAACGUAGGAGGCGAGCGUUAUCCGGAUUUACUGGGUGUAAAGCGCGUGCAGGCGGUCUGUUAAGUUGGAUGUGAAAGCUCCCGGCUCAACUGGGAGAGGUCGUUCAAGACUGGCAGACUGGAGAGCAGUAGGGGAAGGUGGAAUUCCGGGUGUAGUGGUGAAAUGCGUAGAUAUCCGGAGGAACACCAGUGGCGAAGGCGGCCUUCUGGACUGCAUCUGACGCUCAGACGCGAAAGCUAGGGGAGCAAACGGGAUUAGAUACCCGCGUAGUCC